CCCCCUUUUAAUCAGUGAAACUGAUCUCCCCGUGAAGAAGCGGGGAUAACUAUAUAAGACGAGAAGACCCCAUGGAGCUUUAAACCCAGCAACACCUAUCUUUAUACACCCUUAUAUUCACGUAACUCUACUUGCUCGGUUUUAGGUUGGGGUGACCGCGGAGCACAACAAAACCUCCACGAAAAAAGGACCAACAAUCCUUAUCCAAGAUGCACAUAUCUAAGAAUUAAUAUAUUAACUUUUAAUGAUCCGUUAUUCGAUCAACGAACCAAGUUACCCUGGGGAUAACAGCGCAAUCUACCUCGAGAGCUCCUAUCGACAGGUAGGUUUACGACCUCGAUGUUGGAUCAGGGUAUCCCAGUGGUGCAGCAGCUACUAAAGGUUCGUUUGUUCAACGAUUAAAACCCU
rnacentral:rRNA from 1 species